AGAGUUUGAUCCUGGCUCAGAUUGAACGCUGGCGGUAGGCUUAACACAUGCAAGUCGUGCGAGAAAGUAUCUUCGGAUACGAGUACAGCGGCGGACGGGUGAGUAACGCGUAGGAAUCUACCUAGUAGAAGGGGAUAGCCCGGGGAAACCCGGAUUAAUACCGUAUACCUCCUUCGGGAGAAAGAAGGCCUCUCUUUGAAGCUUUCGCUACUAGAUGAGCCUGCGUAAGAUUAGCUUGUUGGUGAGGUAAAGGCUCACCAAGGCAACGAUCUUUAGCUGGUCUGAGAGGACGAUCAGCCACAUUGGGACUGAGACACGGCCCAGACUCCUACGGGAGGCAGCAGUGGGGAAUAUUGGACAAUGGGCGCAAGCCUGAUCCAGCCAUACCGCGUGUGUGAAGAAGGCCUUCGGGUUGUAAAGCACUUUAAGCAGGGAGAAAAAGUUAUAAGCUAAUACCUUAUAACCUUGAUGUUACCUGCAGAAUAAGCACCGGCUAAUUCCGUGCCAGCAGCCGCGGUAAUACGGAAGGUGCAAGCGUUAAUCGGAAUUACUGGGCGUAAAGCGCGCGUAGGUGGUUUGUUAAGUUGGAUGUGAAAGCCCUGGGCUCAACCUAGGAACUGCAUCCAAAACUAACUCACUAGAGUACGAUAGAGGGAGGUAGAAUUCAUAGUGUAGCGGUGGAAUGCGUAGAUAUUAUGAAGAAUACCAGUGGCGAAGGCGGCCUCCUGGAUCUGUACUGACACUGAGGUGCGAAAGCGUGGGUAGCGAACAGGAUUAGAUAC
rnacentral:rRNA from 1 species